UGCUUUGCCGUUUUGUCUAAUUGUAGUCUUAACCACAAUUACCAAUGUGUCUGCCGCUGAUACUUACAAGCCCUAUGUCUAUGCUUCUCCACCACCACCUCCCUAUCACUACUCAUCACCUCCUCCUCCCGUCAAGUCUCCUCCACCACCCUAUCACUACUCAUCACCUCCUCCUCCCGUGAAAUCUCCACCACCUCCAUACCACUACUCGUCGCUUCCUCCUCCUAAAAAGUCUCCGCCACCUCCAUACCAUUACACUUCUCCUCCUCCUCCUAAGAAGUCUCCACCGCCUCCAUACCAUUACUCGUCGCCGCCUCCUCCUAAGAAAUCCCCGCCACCUUCAUACCAUUACAGUUCUCCUCCUCCUCCUCCUAAGAAAUCUCCACCACCACCAUACCAUUAUAGUUCUCCUCCCCCUCCAGUGAAAUCUCCACCGCCUCCAUACCAUUACUCGUCACCACCUCCUCCUAAGAAGUCUCAUCCGCCACCAUAUCAUUACUCGUCUCCUCCCCCUCCAGUGAAAUCUCCACUGCCUCCAUAUCACUACUCAUCGCCUCCUCCUCCUCCUAAAAAGUCUCCACCGCCUCCAUACCAUUACUCUUCAACUCCUCCUCCCAAGAAAUCUCCUCCACCAUCAUACCACUACUCGUCGCCUCCUCCUCCAGUGAAAUCUCCCCCACUUCUAUACCAUUACUCUUCCCCUCCGCCUCCCAAGAAGUCCCCCCCACCACCAUACCACUACUCCUCACCUCCUCCUCCGGUAAAGUCUCCACCGCCUCCAUACCACUACUCGUCACCUCCAUCACCCAAGAAGUCCCCCCCACCACCAUACCACUACUCAUCGCCUCCUCCUCCGGUUAAGUCUCCCCCACCACCGUACCACUACUCAUCACCACCUCCUCCCAAGAGGUCUCCUCCGCCACCGUAUCACUACUCGUCACCACCUCCUCUCAAAAAGUCUCAUCCGCCACCAUACCAUUACACAUCACCUCCACCACCUAAGAAGUCACCACCUCCUCCAUACUACUAUACAUCACCCCCACCUCCAUCACACUAUUAAGCUCACAAAGAAUGACAUCUUUCAAACAAAGAGAGGCUUUCAACCGCUAUGUACUUCCGAAAUUUUGUGAGAAUACUAUGUGUUUGUGUGUAAUAAAGGGUCUAUAAACUUGGAUAUUCGAUGUCAUCAUUUUUUUCAAUUAUAAAGCAAUGUAAGAAAGGUGAAAUGGGAAGAGUAUACCUAUCAAAUAAAUUCAACCAUUAUCAUAAAUCCUUUUAAAAAUAAAAAUAGUGUAUCAUUGUAAGAAAUUAUAUUAGACGCGCAUCUCAUUAAAAUUGUGGAGCCCAAUUUAGAAAAGCGAUUUAUAAUUCAGGAUAUUUAGUUUCAAGAUGU
rnacentral:lncRNA from 1 species